UGGUGGCGAUAGCGAGAAGGAUACACCUGUAACCAUGCCGAACACAGAAGUUAAGCUUCUUAGCGCCGAUUGUAGUGAGGGG
rnacentral:rRNA from 3 species